GAUCGCGUUCAGUGAACCAUUCUCUACUGAGCACCUACGUACUUGUCUUGAUGUCACACACACCAAUGACUCGAGACUAGUCACUUUCCCUGAGAGAAGACAUAGCACGUACCGAUCUUGACGGACUGUCAAUGCCUAAUUGGCAAUCCUAUGAUCAGGAACAUUUAGGAUGUGUCUACGAAAGAAUGGUCUCAUGAAUCUAACUUCAUUAGAUUUACAUUCUCCCAAUCACAUAUUCCUUGGACUUUAUCGUUUAAGCAUAUAAUAUUUAUAUGAGACGGCUCAAACAAUAAUCUUUGCCCUUUAUAUUAAACUAGAUUAGUUUAACAUGUGAAAUGUCCUUAAAGUAUCAUCACAUGAUUGGUUUUAGGGCACAUUUCCAACAAUCUCCCACUUGCACUAGAG
rnacentral:lncRNA from 1 species